UUUUCUGCCAAGAUGGUAUGCAUAGGAUUGCAGCCUUAAAGUGUGAUUUUGGCUUUGAGUUUGUUUGAGGGGUAGUGUUGACAUUUCCUGCAAUAGGGAAAAAGAAGCUCAUUGUGACAAACACCCAAGUUGUUUGUUUAUGUUGAACACAUCCUAUUCAUAAAGCUAGACAAGGUUGCUUUUCUUGUUGGGACAGGUAUGGUUAGGUUAAUCAAUGGUUAUCAAUUAUGGUAUGCUGACUUCCAUGUUGCUGUUUCAAGAGUUCCUGGAUGGAAAACAGUAGCAAAUCAAUCAACAGGCUUAGAUCUAUUUGAUCUCUGUUUGAUUAUUAUACUCCAGGCUACAGCCACAACAGACCCAUGGGUGACAGACACUGUAAAUUAUUAAAACAGGGUUUUGCAAUCCCAGUAGGUUUAACGGCCAAAUUCUUGCCCCCAGGCCCUAGACUGGGCAACACCAGACAUAGGAAUGGCCAGAAAUAUUUUUUUUUUGGAAAAUAAACAAACAGGAAAUGCCCUCACAUUCACUUCAAUUUUUCUAUUUGGGAAGUAAAUGGGACUCUUUAGGGAACAUCCUGAAGUCCUCCAAGUUGAAAACUGUCCCUCCUGCAGGCUUCCAGGAGUCAGAAUACACCCUUAUUUGCCCAAAAUAUGUGCAUGGGAUUUUCUCAGAGGGGCUCUAGGUAGUCUUGAGGGCACACUUGUUGCCAGGACUGGGCUGAUAGGGAGUACCAGAGAGAGGUAAGUGGGAUCUGUCUCAAAAUAUGCUGUAGUGUGAAUGGUUCCUGUUCUAAGUUUUUAUCACUAGAUUCCAUUCUGUCUCCUAGCCUGGAUUUCUAUUUUAUUCCACAACAGCGAGACAGCAUUCUGUGCCAAAUGACUAUGUCCAUAGGGCUAUGAGGGGAUUGGUGCCCCACUAAGGGUUUCUUCCUUACUAUUUUUAUAGUUAUGCAAACCUUGAAGUCCCACAUGCCUCAUAAUACUUUCCUUGUCUGUGGGUGGUGCCCUUUUGACAGCAGAGGACCAGCACUCAGAGAACUGAGUUUGUUAACUAGUUGUUUGAUCCAAUUUCAGGGGAGUAAAUGGUAGCGCCAUACUGCAGCUCUGUAUCUGUAUGGGUGUAUACUAUGGUGUUAUCUACACACAUGGUUUCAGUAGGGAUCUUCGUCAUGAGGCUUUGUGGAUCAGUAAACGUGACUACUGGGAAUAGUAGGAGUGGGGUUUGGCUUGUAGUUGCAUCAGGUCAGCAAAUAAUGGUUUACACUGGCCUUGUGCACCAGGAUUAAAGCUCCGAUCAAACCUGUAGCUUGUAAUCUCACGUUCAGGGAAGUGCAGACCACAACUGACUAAUGACAAAAUAACAAAGCAUUGUUUUCUUUAAAAACCAAGAAAGGAAGGAGGGAAUUGCCAUGCAUCCAAAGAGGAGGCAAGAGUUCCUGGAAGGUUUUUCAUCAUAUUUUCAAAGGAUGCUUUGGCCUUGCCUGGACUAGCCUGGUACAAAGGCAAGAGGGAUUAUGAAAGCACCUCCUUUUGCUCUGUUCAGCCUGCUUUUCUUUCCAGUCACAGCUUCUCAUGCAGCACUUGUAUUUGACUGUGCAAAUACAAGUUAUGAUGUAUCCCAAAAGGCUUCCUAGACCAAAAAUAUAGAGAGAAUAUGCUUGUACAGGCAUGAAUUAUCUGAUAUCAUUCACAGCUAAUCCAGGGUACUAGUGUGGAUGCAUCACACUAGUGUGGAUGUAACUAGCAACCUAGUCACAUCAUGAAGUAACUAGGUUGCUUUUUUCUCCCAACGUCAGAUUCGAUACAUAUCCACCAUGUGAAAUAUGAAGUACACAAAAAGUCUUUAUAGUAUUAAAAAUUAUAAUUUGCAGGUGCAUGGAAGUGCAUCAUGCAGUCCACAGGCAGCACCUUGCUCACUCCCCAUGCAUUUGUAUAUAAAAUGCUGUGAACACAGAAAACACUCUACAAAUUCUAAGGAUUGCUUCAGCCUGGAAGGAGGAUUGUCUGUUUAUUGCUUCUGCUCCACAGUCUUGUGUGCACUCUACUGAAAUAUGUAGGUCACCGCUCUGAAAAGCAAAGCAGGGACACAAUCUAACACAGAAUUUACAGUACAGUGGUACUGAAUAUGCCUUGCUUGAAGGUAUAUAUGAAAUUGCAGCCCGAAUUCAUGAUUACAUUCCUAUGAAUGUCUACUCAGAAGUAGUUCCUACUGAGUUCAGUAGAACUUUUUCCCAAAUAGGAUUCCAUUAUAAGAUUAUUAGAAUUGGUUUAAAAAAUCUGAGGAUUCCAUUAUAAGAUUAUUAGAAUUGGUUUUAAAAAUCCGUGUUAUGGUCUAAAAAGGAUGAAGGACUACCUUUGUUUUUCUAUAUGUAACCAUGAGAUGCAUGCUUAACACUUUUUUUAAAAAAGGGAUGGGGAUCAGCAAAUGGCCAAGGGGUGGCUUCAGCAGCACUUGUGAAUACUGAACUGAGAUGUUUCUUCUGUAUGUUUCCACCUCUACUGUUGCGACUUCCUCCUAACACCUAGCACUUUUAUAUUGCUUUGAUAUGUCGAAUAUCUGUUGUUUUUCAUUAACAGUGUAACCCAAAACUUUGUGGAAAUGCCUGCUAGACAAAAAAAAAACAGAUCACAUUUUCUUAACCUUUCUGUUCCUUGAGAGAUGAAGUGUUAUGGAAUCAAGUAUCUAGUUUCAAGAUACUUGAUUGCCUUUUCUGCAGCAUUAAUGAAUUGGGAGCUUACUUAGGCACUCAUAUACCAAUACAGAAACCGGUACUUGCAGAAUUAAGAGGACAGAUACACUUGGAUGCUGGAACAUUUAAGAAGUGAUUUGCAUGUACAAUACGAAAAAAUAAACAAAUAUCCUUUGGA